GGUUUCCCGUAGGUGAACCUGCGGAAGGAUCAUUG
rnacentral:rRNA from 1 species